AUUGAACGCUGGCGGCAGGCUUAACACAUGCAAGUCGAGCGGAGAUGAGGUGCUUGCACCUUAUCUUAGCGGCGGACGGGUGAGUAAUGCUUAGGAAUCUGCCUAUUAGUGGGGGACAACAUUCCGAAAGGAAUGCUAAUACCGCAUACGCCCUACGGGGGAAAGCAGGGGAUCUUCGGACCUUGCGCUAAUAGAUGAGCCUAAGUCGGAUUAGCUAGUUGGUGGGGUAAAGGCCUACCAAGGCGACGAUCUGUAGCGGGUCUGAGAGGAUGAUCCGCCACACUGGGACUGGGACACGGCCCGGACUCCUACGGGAGGCAGCAGUGGGGAAUAUUGGACAAUGGGCGGAAGCCUGAUCCAGCCAUGCCGCGUGUGUGAAGAAGGCCUUUUGGUUGUAAAGCACUUUAAGCGAGGAGGAGGCUACCUGGAUUAAUACUCUAGGAUAGUGGACGUUACUCGCAGAAUAAGCACCGGCUAACUCUGUGCCAGCCGCCGCCGUAAUAC
rnacentral:rRNA from 1 species